rnacentral:rRNA from 1 species
AGCUGGUUCUCCCCGAAAUAGCUUUAGGGCUAGCGUUAUGAAAGAUUACCGGAGGUAAAGCACUGAAUUGGCUAGGGGCCGAGAGGUUACUGAACCAUAUCAAACUAAGAAUGCCGGAUAAUUGAUUCAUAGCAGUCAGACUACGUGAGAUAAGUCUCGUGGUCAAAAGGGAAACAGCCCAGACCCACAGCUAAGGUCCCGAAAUAUGUUUAGUGGAAAAGGAUGUGGAGCUGCAUAGACAACCAGGAUGUUGGCUUAGAAGCAGCCACUCAUUAAAAGAGUGCGUAAUAGCUCACUGGUCGAGUGGCUCUGCGCCGAAAAUUCAACGGGGCUAAAACAUAUACCGAAGCUUGGGCUUGACAGUAAUGUCAGGGGUAGGGGAGCGUUGUGUAAGGGGUGAAGUCAUAGCGAAAGCGGUGGUGGACUUUACACAAGUGAGAAUGCCGGAAUGAGUAGCGAGAAUUAUGUGAGAAUCAUAAUGGCCGAAAAUCUAAGGUUUCAGAAGGAAGGUUCGUCCGCUUCUGGUAAGCCGGGAGCUAAGGCGAGGCCGAAAGGCGUAGCCGAUGCACAUACGGUAGAAAUUCCGUAGCCUCUAUCAAUUUAAACACAGGGACACUUUUGAAGGGUUCAGCCGGGCGAUGGUUGCCCCGGUCGUAAGGGACUGCAAAUGAGCGGGAAGUGAAUUUGGAAGAAGGCGAGAAAAGCUGUGUGAAUAGAAGAUAGAGCCCGUACCGCAAACCGACACAGGUAGAUAGGAAGAAGAUUCUAAGGCCAACGGGAGAAGGGUUGUUAAGGAACUCGGCAAGUUGACCCCGUAACUUAGGGAGAAGGGGUGCUCUUUAAGGAGAGCCGCAGAGAAUAGGCCCAAGCGACUGUUUAGCAAAAACACAGCUCUAUGCUAAAUCGAAAGAUGACGUAUAUGGGGUGACACCUGCCCGGUGCCGGAAGGUUAAGAGGAGGAGUGAGAGCUCUGAAUUGAAGCCCCGGUAAACGGCGGCCGUAACAAUAACGGUCCUAAGGUAGCGAAAUUCCUUGUCAGGUAAGUUCUGACCCGCACGAAUGGUGUAACGAUUUGGGCACUGUCUCAACAACCUGCCCGGCGAAAUUGUAGUACCGGUUAAGAUGCCGGUUACCCGCGACUAGACGGAAAGACCCCAUGGAGCUUUACUGCAGCUUAAUAUUGAAUUUCGGUAUUUCAUGUACAGGAUAGGUGGGAGACAGGGAACCAUAGGCGUCAGCUUAUGGGGAGUCGACCUUGGGAUACCACUCUUGAGGUGCUGGAAUUCUAACCUGUGGCUCUGAAUCGAGUCAGGGGACAUUGUUAGGCGGGCAGUUUGACUGGGGCGGUCGCCUCCAAAAAGGUAACGGAGGCGCUCAAAGGUUCGCUCAGCAUGGAUGGAAACCAUGCUUUUGAGUGUAAACGCAAAAGCGAGCCUAACUGCGAGACUGACGGGUCGAGCAGUAACGAAAGUUGGAGUUAGUGAUCCGGCGGUAUGUGAGUGGAAAUGCCGUCGCUCAACGGAUAAAAGCUACCCUGGGGAUAACAGGCUGAUCUCCCCCAAGAGUCCACAUCGACGGGGAGGUUUGGCACCUCGAUGUCG